rnacentral:misc_RNA from 1 species
AUCGCGUUAUGCGAAGCGCUUGGUUGAUGUGUAGUACUUGUUGUGCGUCCGACUGUAUCGCCGCUGUCAAGUGUUCGCUCCGCCAGGGUGCUAAACAACCGUUCGGUGUGUUUGUCAUCGUCGUCUUGCAGCUGACAUUCUUGGCAACCGCCGCGAGGUGAGAGGUGCCCCACGGCCGUUUUCACUCACCGUCAUGUCUGCCGGCCUUGGUGGAAGUGACGAGAUGUCGAGCAGCUACUCCAAGCGCGUGGACGAGCUGCGGCGGUCCUUCAAGCUUGGUAAAACACGGCCUACCAGCUAUCGCGUCGAGCAACUCAAGGCCAUGGACCGAUUUCUCGCCGACUACCAUGACCGUUUUGUAGACGCCCUCAAGGAAGACCUGAACAAGAACAAGUUCGAGAGCAUUCUCUUCGAGAUCCAAUACACCCGCAAUGAAAUAAAGGGUACCAUCAUGGAGUUGGACAAGUGGGUCAAGCCAGAAAAGGCACCCAAGAAUAUCAUGCUGCUGAUGGACCAGGCACUGAUCCACAGUGAGCCGUUCGGAGUGGCCCUGGUGAUAGGUGCCUGGAACUACCCGUUGCAGCUGACGCUGUGCCCCCUCAUCGGGGCCAUUGCAGCUGGCAACUGUGCCGUGAUCAAGCCGUCCGAGCAGGCACCGGCCACAGCCAAGCUUCUUCUGGAAAUGGUGCCCAAGUACCUGGACCCCGAGUGCUUUGCUGUCAUUGUUGGGGGCCCCAAGGAGUCUGCUGAGCUUCUAACCGAGAAGUUUGACUACAUCUUCUACACGGGCUCCACUAAUGUGGGCAAGCUCAUCUAUGCUGCCGCCCAGAAGCACCUCACACCAGUUACCCUUGAGCUGGGUGGAAAAAGCCCCGUGUAUGUGGAUGCUGCCGUGAACCUGGAGGUGGCCUGCCGCCGCCUCAUGUGGGGCAAGUAUGUCAAUGCGGGCCAGACAUGCAUAGCACCCGACUACGUGCUCUGCCACACAGCCGUGUAUGCCCAGUUUGUGGACACGUGCAAGAAGGUCAUCACGGAGUUCUACUCGGAGCAUCCCAAGGAUAGUGCCGACCUGGGUCGCAUUGUCAACACCAACCACUGCCGAAGGAUAGCCAAGCUGCUGGAGGGACUGCCCAUCGCAUUUGGCGGGGACGUGGACGUGGACAGCAAGUACGUGGCACCUACCCUGGUCACCGAGGUCAAGGUCACCGACCCUGUCAUGCAGGAGGAGAUCUUUGGUCCAGUGCUGCCAAUCCUGAGGGUGAACAGUGCAGACGAAGCAAUUGAGUUCAUCAAUGAGAGGGAGAAGCCACUGACGCUGUAUGUGUUCUCAUCACAGCAGAAGGUCAUUGACCGUUUCAUGUAUGAAACCACAAGUGGCAGCAUUUGUGCCAAUGACACCUUGGUUCAUCUGUCUGUGGACACGCUGCCCUUUGGUGGAGUGGGCCAGAGUGGCAUGGGUCGCUACCAUGGCAAGUACUCCUUCGACACCUUCUCCAACAAAAAGGCAGUGCUGGUGCGGUCAUUCAACCCCAUCGGAGAGGCAUUUGGCCGAAAGCGGUACCCACCGCUGGAUGACUUCAAGAUUGCCUACUUCCGGCAGCUGCUGCUGAAGCGAGGAUCUCUCCUGGGCACAGGACUGCUUGGCUGUGCCCCCUACCUGUGCGUGUUUGUGCUGGGUGUCGCCUCGGCCUUCCUUCUCCGAUAUCUGUUCCACGAUGGCAGCAAGCUGCCGCAGAGGCGCGACUGACCCCCAAGUGCACUUUGAGCACAACCAGUGUAUGCAAGAUGCUGGGCACAGAGAUUUAAAAGCAAUCCAGUGGGAACCAAGGAUUAAUGCCACAUUCCUGCAGCAUCGCCACGUGGAGAGAUGAUUUUUGUUCCACUCAGGCCCCGUUUCCUUUUUCUUCUUUGUAAACUAAAUAGCUUCAGUUGCUCUUCUGCGUAAGAGGGAAGAAAGCACCUGGCAGAAAAAAGUUAAGCACUUUAGGCAGGCAUGCAGAGCAACACCAGACACACUACUGCUGUCACUGUAGCCAUGCCUCUAUUACUCCCAUUUGAGUCACAGAAUCAAGUCUCCAGCAUUUUUUACAAAGCCACCUACCGAGCGACAUGAAACGGCUAGCCAGAUGGCCAAGCAUUGCGCCUACCAUGUGAAGCACUGCACCAACAUGGUUUCAGGCAAUAGUUCUCAUGGUCUAAAGGGAAGGCAAACCUUGAGUUGGCCUGGUACCCACAAUGUUUGUAUUAUGCUAAGAAAUGACAAUGUUCCAGUACUUGCCGAGUCUCCUGCAUGUGCUCCUGUGGACGGGGCUGUGCCAGUGAGCUAGUGUACUGCUGGGCCACCUGUUUCAAGGCAACAGUCCACGCACUCCCACUAAUUAAGCUGACUGACCAGGAGUUGUGACACAGCACGAGUUAUUUAGAAAACUGCACUUUUAAGUUGAGAAGCAACAUAAAAAAAAUUAUCCUUAUUAUUGAGGCUCAACGCACUUUACCAGUUAUAAGUAGGAUGUGUGACGUCGCAGCAGCUGGUGGCAUUAAUGUUGUUCUAUGUUUGCAUCAUCUUGUGAAAGUGCUGUUAUCAUUAAAAGUGCAAUUCGCCUUAAAGAAUCCUUGGAAAAGCAGCAGCUUUGCUGCAGCAAUAAAAUGUGCUCCCAGCCAAUGCUGCCAUGCCUUUAUAGUCUCAUAUGCUCUGCACCUGUGCAGACUGCUUACUCUGGAAAGAAUGCAUUGAGUGCAGACAAAAUGGUGCAAGACAGCAGUGGCCUUCUGCUGUGAGCUGGUCACUGGGUCCAAUAGGUAUCACACACAAACGUCUAUACAGCAUAGAGACAUGAAACAAGCUAAGAAACUACUUUGCUAUGCGUUUGAAACUCAUUAUUGUAUGCAUCUGCUUCCUUGAUAAAAUAAAGCUCCAACAACUCUUGAGCCACUG